CUCCCUCCCUCCCUCAGCUCCCGCUCCCAGUCCCCGGCCCCCACAGCUCAGUCCCUCCGAGCCCCCCACGGACAUGACAGGACAUCCACGUGGGUGGACAGGACACGGCGAGGAUCACGAACCGGGCCAGCGAGCGAAGAGGGCUCCAAGUCUCUGUUCAGAAGCGGAUGUCUCCAGACAAGAUAGGAGACAGUCCCUGUCCCCCCAGCCAUCAUCAUCAUCACCACGGCCCCUGUACCUGACCACUCCCUACGUGCAAAGCCUGAACUAAACUCUUUAUUUGCA